GAAUUCUAAAUGGUUAUUUCUCCCUCUUGGUAUCACAGUCAAAGAAAUCUACUCUCCAGAUGUGCUCAUUAAGCUUCUUUCUCUGCUUAUCUCCAAAUCUCCCAAGCCAGGACAACAAUGCAGUAUGAAGAGGACUUCAGAGUUAGGUCAUGCAAGAUAAGCAAACUGAGUCUCAGAUAGGAGAAAUAACCUUCCUGAAGUCACACAAUGAAUUGGUGGAAGAACAAGGCCUGGAACGCAGGUCUUCUAAUUCCCAACCAAUUAAAGUCAACAAAUACAAGUGCCUAUGAAUGCCAUACAUUGCG